rnacentral:tRNA from 1 species
GGUGAUGUAGCUCAGCGGUUAGAGCGAUUCACUCAUAAUGAAUAGGUCGCAGGUUCAAAUCCCGCCAUCACCA